rnacentral:rRNA from 1 species
UACAGAGGUCCCAAGCGUUGUUCGGAUUCAUUGGGCGUAAAGGGUGCGUAGGUGGCGCCGUAAGUCAGGUGUGAAAUCUCGGGGCUUAACUCCGAAACUGCAUUUGAUACUGCGAUGCUUGAGGACUGGAGAGGAGACUGGAAUUUACGGUGUAGCAGUGAAAUGCGUAGAGAUCGUAAGGAAGACCAGUGGCGAAGGCGGGUCUCUGGACAGUUCCUGACACUGAGGCACGAAGGCCAGGGGAGCAAACGGGG